UCCCUGGUGGCUCAGUGGUAAAGAGUCUGCCUGCAAUGCAGGAGACAACAGGUUCAGUCCCUGAUCUGUGAA
rnacentral:tRNA from 1 species